rnacentral:lncRNA from 1 species
CAUUUUGCUCCCAUUCCUCCCCCUGGUAGCAUUAAACCAAAACCUGCUGGCCCCGGAACAGGCGACGCUGGAAGCGGUCAACCUGUUAGCCCAGGACCCGGCGAUGCGGGAGGUGGUCCAAAACCUGGUGGUCCUGGAACCGGUGAAAACGGAGCCGGCACUAAACCUAGUGGUCCCGGAACCGGUGAAAACGGAGCCGGCACUAAACCUGGUGACCUUGGAACCGGGGCAGAUGGAGAAGGUACUAAACCUGGUGGCUCUGGAACCGGCGAAGACGGAGCCGGUACUAAACCUGGUGGUCCUGGAACCGGUGAAAACGGAGCCGGCACUAAACCUAGUGGUCCCGGAACCGGUGAAAACGGAGCCGGCACUAAACCUGGUGACCUUGGAACCGGGGCAGAUGGAGAAGGUACUAAACCUGGUGGCUCUGGAACCGACGAAGACGGAGCCGGUACUAAACCUGGUGGCCUUGAGACAGGAGAAGACGGAGCUGGUACUAAACCUGUUGGCUCUGGAACUGGCAACGAUGGAGGCGGUCCUAGACCUGUUAUCCCUGGAAAGAUGGGACCCCUUGGUGGUGACAAGGGAAAUGAAUUCGACGAUGUUGGUUUUGAUGGUGUGAAGAAAAUAACUGUGGGAGCAGAUGAAUUCAGUAUAACUUAUAUCAAGAUCGAAUA